CGGACGGGUGAGUAAUGUCUGGGAAACUGCCUGAUGGAGGGGGAGUAACUACUGGAAACGGUAGCUAAUACCGCAUAACGUCGCAAGACCAAAGAGGGGGACCUUCGGGCCUCUUGCCAUCAGAUGUGCCCAGAUGGGAUUAGCUAGUAGGUGGGGUAACGGCUCACCUAGGCGACGAUCCCUAGCUGGUCUGAGAGGAUGACCAGCCACACUGGAACUGAGACACGGUCCAGACUCCAACGGGAGGCAGCCAUG
rnacentral:rRNA from 1 species